rnacentral:rRNA from 1 species
GUAAUGCCUGGGAAAUUGCCCGGAAGAGGGGCCUUUCCAUUGGAAACGAUGGCUAAUACCGCAUAACCUCUCAAGAGCAAAGAGGGGGACCUUCGGGCCUCGCGCUUCCGGAUAUGCCCAGGUGGGAUUAGCUAGUUGGUGAGGUAAGGGCUCACCAAGGCGACAAUCCCUAUCUGGUCUGAGAGGAUGAUCAGCCUCACUGGAACUGAGACACAGCCCAGACUCCUACGGGAGGCAGCAAUGGGGAAUAUUGCGCAAUGUGCGCAAGCCUGAUGCAGCCAUGCCGCGUGUAUGAAGAAGGCCUUCUGGUUGUAAAGUACUUUCAAUAAGGAGGAAGGUGGUAGAGUUAAUACCCUUAUCAUUUGACGUUACCUACCGAAGAAGCACCGGCUAACUCCGUGCCAACAGACGCGGAAAUACUGAGGGUGCAAGCGUUAAUCGGAAUUACUGGGCGUAAAGCGCAUGCAGGUGGUUUGU